CAGGCAACGAGCGAGACCCACGCCCACAGUUGCCAGCGUACUCGUCUGGAGUGACGGGUACACUGUGGGGACCGCCGCUGCUAAAGCGGAGGAAGGAAUGGGCAACGGUAGGUCAGUAUGCCCCCGAAUAUCCCGGGCUACACGCGAGCUACAAUGGUUGGUACAAUGGGUAUCUACCCGAAAGGGGACGGGAAUCUCCUAAAACCAAUCUUAGUUCGGAUUGAGGGCUGCAACUCGCCCUCAUGAAGCUGGAAUCCGUAGUAAUCGCGUUUCAACAGAACGCGGUGAAUACGUCCCUGCUCCUU
rnacentral:rRNA from 1 species